UACGGGGGAGCAAGCGUUGUUCGGAUUUACUGGGCGUAAAGGGCGCGUAGGCGGUCAGCACAAGUCAGUUGUGAAAUCUCCGGGCUUAACUCGGAAAGGUCAACUGAUACUGUGCGACUAGAGUGCAGAAGGGCAACUGGGAAUUCUCGGUGUAGCGGUGAAAUGCGUAGAUAUCGAGAGGAACACCUGCGGCGAAGGCGGGUUGCUGGGCUGACACUGACGCUGAUGCGCGAAAGCCAGGGGAGCGAACGGG
rnacentral:rRNA from 1 species